GCAGUAGGAGCCCCCCCACUGGUAUCUGAGGCCGAACGCCUCGUUGAUGUCCUGAAGCUGUGUCCACACGCCGCCAUGCACAGACCUGCACCGCCCAAUGAGACGCAGCAGAGUCAAAGACAAGAGUUCCUGGAUGUGCUCCAAAGGCUUAAUCUCAGGUUGCAGCCAGCAGGCCGAGCAAAGCACCCCAGACGUCCCUCUCCCCAG